rnacentral:rRNA from 1 species
GAUGAACGCUGACAGAAUGCUUAACACAUGCAAGUCUUUGGCGAAGCUGUGCUUGCACAGCCUAGCCAAGGCGGACGGGUGAGUAACGCGUAAGGAACUUGCCCUGCAGUCAGGGAUAACAGACGGAAACGACUGAUAAGACCUGGUAAAGUCAGGCGGACUCAUGUCCAGCCUGAUGAAAAGAGAUGCUGCAGGAGAGCCUUGCGUCCUAUUAGCUUGUUGGUGGGGUAACGGCCCACCAAGGCGAUGAUAGGUAGCCGGCCUGAGAGGGUGGACGGCCACAAGGGGACUGAGAUACGGCCCUUACUCCUACGGGAGGCAGCAGUGGGGAAUAUUGGACAAUGGGGGCAACCCUGAUCCAGCAAUUCUGUGUGCACGAUGAAGGUUUUCGGAUUGGAAAGUGCUUUCAGCAGGGAAGAAAAAAAUGACGGUACCUGCAGAAGAAGCGACGGCUAAAUACGUG